CUACGGGAUGCUCCAGUGGGGAAUAUUGGACAAUGGGCGCAAGCCUGAUCCAGCAAUACCGCGUGUGUGAAGAAGGCCUGCGGGUUGUAAAGCACUUUCAAUUGGGAAGAAAAGCCUGAGGCUAAUAUCCUCGGGUCUUGACGUUACCUUUAGAAGAAGCACCGGCUAACUCCGUGCCAGCAGCCGCGGUAAUACGGAGGGUGCGAGCGUUAAUCGGAAUUACUGGGCGUAAAGCGCGCGUAGGCGGCUUGUUAAGUCAGAUGUGAAAGCCCCGGGCUCAACCUGGGAACUGCAUUUGAUACUGGCAGGCUAGAGUGUGGUAGAGGGAAGUGGAAUUCCAGGUGUAGCGGUGAAAUGCGUAGAUAUCUGGAGGAACAUCAGUGGCGAAGGCGACUUCCUGGACCAACACUGACGCUGAGGUGCGAAAGCGUGGGUAGCAAACAGGAUUAGAUACCCCCGUAGUC
rnacentral:rRNA from 1 species